CGUGCCCCCCUCCCCAUGCUAAAACUGCCCGCUCUCCUCCUUCGCAGCUCCGGCACAGACAUCAUCCGAGACCGAGACGAUGCGAUCCGGGGUGGAAAGCUUUCGGCGAGGCCGCCGCACGCCUCGGACCGACGACACCUCCGCUUGGCGAGACGACCGGCACGCCCGAAGGGAGCCGCGCGUGUCGCCUGAGCCACUUUAGCGUGGGGAGGGGGACAUGACGACCUUUGAAGCCGACGCCCGUCAUCACAGCUUGCCCGACGCCGUGCGGACGGAGCGACAAUCCCCCCGAAAACCAACAAGUCCAGGACCCGAUGAUGGACGACUCGGUUGUUUUCCCUCCGUUUGGCCUGGCGGGUAAGGGGACGCUCCGACGUCGUCGCCUCGAAAAUGGCGUCACUCUCAACAAGGAGGCGCGAUGGCAAUUCAGUGGUCGCGGGACGGCGAAUUAGCAUUGGCGCCGACACGGAAAACUGCACAAGAAAAGCCAGGACCAUCAGGUACGCGCACUCUCGUCGUCGGCGACCCCAAAUCGCGCGCCAUUAGCGAGCGGCAAAGAGCCGACUCUCGGCUCGUUCGCUUUGCAGAUUUGCCCGAACGGACGCGUUCGUACAAACGGGCCCACUUGGAUUUCGUGCUCGGCUUUGUUGAAGACGACGUCGGACCAAGGCUACGUCGCCAUUUUAAAUGCCCGUAGGCAGAUUUGGACAGCGAACUCUUUGUCGGGUCGUGACGUCUUCUUCCUCCGAGGCAUGUCGUGAAAUGCGCCCGCGUUUCUUUGCGUGCCCACGGCCCAAUGGGAUGCUUCUAUUGUCCAGGCGGCAAUCCCAUACACGGGCCAGCCUGAUGCCGGCGUUGUUCUCUCAUAGCUGGCCGUCCGCUUCUUGCCCCCUUCCUUCCUUCUCCCCUUUCACACUUCCUCGUACCGCCCCCCCCCACUUUACUCCCCGACCCCAUUUCGACCGAUUUGAUUAGUUUGACGACACAAAGUGUUUUUUUAACGGCGCUACGAUGGAGCAGCUGGCCGUUAGCUUUCAUGUGGAGUCUUCGCUGAGAGCAGAUGGCGGCCGUGCGUGCGCGACAGGCGCGAUCCGUCUCCCGCCUGUUGCGCCCGAGCCUUUUUCAAGGAUAUCUACCUUAUGUCGUGAUGUCACAAGCGGCAUUAUUUAACAGGCAGCUGGGAGGGCCACUCAUCAUUUCAUUAAAAGGCGUCUGAAAAAGGAGCUCGGGCGCCGAUGACAUUAGCUUCAAUUAUUCACGAGCGCGCCGCCGCUGCAGACGCGCUCGUAGCGCAGAGACGACUCGCUCUUCCGUCAUUUGCUCAAAGGCAAAGUGGCCUCGGCGCGGGCUCCAAAUACCGCCGCCGCGCGGACAGAAACGCGAUUCCCCCGGCAGCCGAGCGGCAGAGGAAGUUCUCGGCCGCUCUGGUUCCUCCGUAAGCCAUUUGUCGCGAUAACAAGACAAUGUGCUCCUUUUUUUUUUUUUUUGAGUCUCGGAUUGGCCAGCUUGAACGGAAGGUGAAGCCGGAAACUGGAACGACGAUCCGGCAGCACGUGGCCCAAGUCUUGAAAAGUUUUGUAGCAAUCAAUAAAGAAAGAUGGCAACCUCGGAGACGCUCUCCACUCGGAUGACCUCGCGAGCGAGCGUAUGCGUAAAACAGAGAGCCAAACACCUUGACGCACUGAGCAGACGGCGGAGUGCAAAUAUCAUGCGGUUUCCUGUCUGGUUGGUUUUCUCUCGAAAGAAAGCCCGCGGCGCUUUCCUCUCGAUGGAUUCUCCAGUCCGUUUGGCGCCUCAUUCGCAGACUUUCUGCUCGGACGGUCGACGCUGACCCGCUGACCUCGCGCCUCCGCGACGCCCCGACCGCCUUUGUAAACUCACCAGCGCCAAGCUAAUUAUCAUGUUGCACUUUUUUUUUUGGGUUGGGGGGGGUGGGGGCGGCAGGAUUUCGCUGUGACGCUGCGCUCUCCCAUCGAGCGCCUGCACUCCUUGUCGUCGGGCAGAUUAAGAAAAGUAUAUUCCCAAAAAUAAAAAGGCAAUGGCGCUGACGAAUUGUGGCGAGCGGG